AUUCGAAAGGGGCAAAAGGAUUCAAAGUUCACCAUCUCAGAGUCCGCCAACUUCCUGAUGUUGCUGGGCGCCCGCUGCGAUUAGUUUCGUUUGCGGUGUCGUUUGCGGCAAUCACAGAGCGGUUCGGCGCGGUACACUGACAGUGGUCGAGUGCACUUCCCCCCUGAGUAGAAACGUCGCGACCCGUUGGGAGCCAGUCAUAAGGCCUGGGAUGGUAGCCCACGUGUCCUGGGGAGGAUUUCGCAGGCGCGUGGAACGCCCGGUGACCCGGCUGGCGCCCGACGGUAUAACCAGAGGAGUCAGUCCGCUGUAAGUGAAACACUGUGGUGUGCAGCGUCCGGCACUGGCGUCAACGUGUACGGGGUUCCAGGUGAAAACUGGGGGCAGCGGUGCGAUGCACUUCCCCGACCUUGUACAUGUUCGUCGCUGGUGUCCUCGGACAGGAUCAGUACUCCCGUCCGCGGCGCCCAACGUCGGAUUUUCUCCCGC
rnacentral:rRNA from 1 species